UACGUAGGUGGCAAGCGUUAUCCGGAAUUACUGGGCGUAAAGGGCGUGUAGGCGGGAAGACAAGUCGGGAGUGAAAUCCCAGGGCUUAACCCUGGAGCUGCUUCCGAAACUGUUUUUCUUGAGUAUCGGAGAGGAAAGUGGAAUUCCCAGUGUAGCGGUGAAAUGCGUAGAGAUUGGGAGGAACACCAGUGGCGAAGGCGACUUUCUGGACGAUUACUGACGCUGAGGCGCGAAAGCGUGGGGAGCAAACAGG
rnacentral:rRNA from 1 species